rnacentral:lncRNA from 1 species
AGAACCAAGUUAUUGAAACCCCUUGUUCCCUUUCCAGCCUGGGCUGGUUUGUUCCGCAAUGGCCCAAACCAAAUAAGAACAUGCAUGUCUCGAGGAACAGCCUUUCCCAUGGUCAAGCUCAGCGUGCCUUCUGCCAGGCCUGUCCCCUUACCACCAUCUCCAUUGGAUUCAUCUGUACAAAACACACUUGCCACUAGUC